rfam:Streptomyces scabrisporus strain NF3 contig3, whole genome shotgun sequence.
CUUCACCGAGCCCAGCCACAGCGGGCGAUCGGCCGGGCGGCCCUUGCCGUAGGUGGCCAGGAGCGCCUGCGCCUC